UUCUCCUUUUGCCCUUUCUCCUUCAAUUGUUGUGACAGCCCUAAGCCUCAAGAGAGAGGCAGACUCGAAUAGCUCCUCCGACGCAGAGGAGGGUGGGCGACGGCGACUCCGGAGGCGACAGUAGCUGCAACUAGGCGAGAUGAGGCGGCGGUUUGAUUUCUAGGAGUUUGCUCCCCUCUUUUCCUUUCUCUCUCAUCAGUUUCAAAGCCCUAAUCAGUUUCAAAGAACAGAGGAAUGGUCUGAACUGAACCCCCUCCAUUGAUUCUUUGUCUUCCCUUUCCAUCCGAUCUCCUAUGGCGUCAAUGUCUAGAUUUGUUGCCAAAGAUUGUAGAUUGCAGCCUCACCAUGCUCUUUACAAGCAAAACUAUUUGCUUACAUAUAAGGAAGAUUGAAUCCACAAAAAUAGUGGAAAAGAUGAGUGAUUGGAGUAAGGGUUGAAGCCCAACAAAGUGUACUAUUAUCAAUGUGGAGAUCAUUCUAUACCAGUAAUGAGUAAUGUGUCCUACAAAUGCAACACAAAGAAGUGAUGGAAUUAUAAGAGAGAGUUGUGCUAUUGCAAAGUGAAGUUACAAGAUAUGGAGAGUGUUAGUGAACAACUUUGAUUUUUGACCGCGAAGACACAAUAAGCAAUAAACAUUUGAUCGUAUAAUUGGUGUUACUUGUAAUUGCUAUUAUUUUAAUUAUGAAGCAGUAACUAUGUUUCAAUGUUGUAAUUGACUAGUUUUAUUUUUGAAAUGGUUGGGAAUGUAAAACUUCUGAAAAUUGUGAAAUUUGAAAUGUUGUUGCUAUUAUUGAAA